CAGCUGAUGGCCGAGAAAAUCCGGCCGCCUCACCUGCCACCCACCUCAGCCUCGUCACAGCAGCCACUGCUAGUGCCCCCCGCGCCCGCCGAGAGCAGUCAGGCGGUCAUGUCGCUGCCCAAGCUGCAGCAGGUGCCCGGGCUGCACCCGCAGUCCGUGCCGCAGCCCGACGUGGCGCUGCACGCGAGGCCGGCCACCAGCACUGUCACAGGUCUGGGGCUUUCCUCUCGGACCCCCGCUGUGAGUACAUCUGAGUCAACCCCAGGCACGGGCACAGGCACCAGUACCCCAUCCACACCCACCACCACCAGCCAGAGCCGCCUCAUCGCCUCAUCCCCCACCCUCAUCUCAGGGAUCACCAGCCCCCCCCUCCUGGACUCCAUCAAGACAAUCCAGGGCCACGGCCUGCUUGGCCCCCCCAAGUCUGAACGCGGCCG
rnacentral:lncRNA from 1 species